UGUCUCCUGGCAGGGGAGAGCAGGGGGCCAGGCCGAGGUUGGUGACCCCAGCUGGGGCUUCCCAUCACAGCCCCUCCUUCACUGACCCCCGAGAGCCAUGAUGGGAACGGUGCCCCCAGAGAUACCCAGCAGGGGACCAGAGAACAAACCUCUUGGCCCAACGGAGGCUGCAUCAGCUAAGAAGGGUGCCAGAGCCCUUGCGCUGCCCACAGGAUGCCCGGCUGCACUGGGGGCUCUGGGGCCUCCCCUGCCUAGAGUGAGGCUGUCGAGCUCCUGACCCAGCAGUGCCCUGCCUCCACCCCAGAGGCAGCAAAGGAAGGACGCAGGCGCUGCAAGGGCUCGGGACACACCGACCUCGACACUAACUUGUCUAUGGCCUGGGCAGAAGGUGGCCACUGGCCGAGGCUCAGACAUCAGCAUCAAGAGGUAACUUGGUGCAUGUUGGUAGAAAGCCUCUGAGCCCAAGUGACAGGGAACAGACAGGUUUCCCUUUCUGCUUCCGUGUUCCCUUCUAGGCCCUGGGCCAGCAGCCAGCCCAGACCAAAUCCCAUUCCAGGGGGGACCCGGGAGGCCAGGCCUGCUUGGCAACUGCUUGGAAGUGAAGAUCUGUGACUUGUAGGCCCAUCCCUGUAGGGACCCAUGGGACAAAGCCCUGUUCCCACUCUGGGCAGCCAGCACUGGCCGCAGAAACAGCCUCCACCUCAGGGGCGCACACCCCAGCCUUCACUAGCCUCAGCGGCACAAAGCCAGUGAGGAACUCCACCUGCUCAAAGUUCCCCAACUGCCUGGUCUCUCCACCACCAAGGUCAGGAAAGAUCUCUUUUACUAAUCACCUUCGGGCCCCCGGGCCCCUCACCUGUUCUGAGGACAUGUUCUCUUCCUCAGGGAACACAGGGCGGGCGUGUUUGAAAAUGAGGUCUCUGGCUACCCAAUCCCUACACCCUCCAUCCCUGAUCUCUAUGAAGGUCCCACAUUGGGUGCCACUGAACCCCAAGUCCAGCGGAGGAAGGACGGCAUCCAGACAAGGGCUGCCAGGGUGCCGCUUGUGUGGGAUGACCACUCUUCCUGGUUUCCCAGGACAAAGAGGCUCCUGGGACACUGGACUUCCAGCUUUAAGAUCAGGUCAGGCCUGGGCAAACCAGGAAAAGCUGGUCACCUUACCAUCAGGGCUGCCCUGUGGAGGGACAGCACAGGAAUACCAGGGAAGGUGGAGGGAGGUGAGGACUGUUCUGCCUGUGGAGAGCUCCUCGAACUAAGUGGCCCUCACUGGGACUUUCUCUGGGCAAAGCUGUCACUGAGGUUGUCUGGGCUCAGGAAGCGGGAGGGGUAGCCUGCCUCUAGGAGCCCCUGCUUCAGGAGGAACCCAGCGGGAGUGCCCACUGCUCCUCGCCUGAGAGGUCCAGAGAGCCGCUGCUAUUUCAAAACUGUUGUGGGUGCCGCCGACUGUCAGCCUGGAGGGAGAAGGGCUCUGGGGAGGGAAGCAGAAGCUCCCAGGUCUCCGCACUCAGUGCCAGAAUCCCACAGCUCAGUCAGAAGCUGCCUGGGGAGCCCUGGGGGAGCCCUGAGCUCCCCACCGCUGCGAGGCCAGCCCAGGAGGUCUCUCCUGCUUGCUGUCCCAAGCAGGGACCUAGAUAAGGUGGAACCUGAGCCUUCUCGCCUACCGAUUUAAAAGAAGCCCUUUUAAGGAGUUAAUUUCCGACUUGAGUUCGUUGAUAUUCUGGGACUCCAGGAUCCAGUUGGUGGAUGUGGUGGCCUGAAAGUCAAGACACAGGAGAUGCAGGUCAGAGUGGCACCCCCAUGCCACCCGAGUGGGCAAGGUGUGGCUUAGGAGCACCCUGAAGGCAAUAGCAGCUGGCACAUUUUAUCUGGCCACAGCCUGGCGAUCCUGCGUGAAGGGCCUGGCACUGCCGGAGGCGACUCCCUUCAAAACCACACUCCCUGGGCUCUGGGUGUCUAAGGGCACAGGACAGGCAGCACCGUGGUACUGUGGGUUUGUAAAGUGACGUGAUGCGUGAGCUCUCAUCUUUCAGGGAGACUCGCUGUGGUAUCUGAAAGGAGGGGUGACACCUGGAGGACGGGCAGGAGUCUGCUGGAGUGAGCAAUGCCCUCCCUUCUGUGUUUGAAAUGCUCAUUAAAACAAAAGAACAAUAAAAACUAAAUCCCACUCCUUCCAAAAGAAAUGCCCCUUGGAAGUGAGCAAGGGGCUCAGCCGGGGUGGCCUCAAAACUGGUGUUCCUGAGCCUGGAAGCCACACCGGGCAUCAGAGAGGCUGGGGCACCUCAACCCUUGCGGGCCACUCCUACAGCCUGGAGGACAGGCUUCACCACAUGCUGGGCUGCUUGGAGCUGCUGGGGACCUCCUGCUCCUGCUAGGUGAUGUCUGGUCUCUAGAGGGCCCUGGGGGCCAGAGGACAUCCCAGGACUGCUCCUCCCUGUCUGCAAAGCCACCUGCAGGUCAUGCUACCCAAUCACAUCCCUUCUUUGGGAUGACUCUGGUUGCAGAGCAGAGAAGAGAACAGCCCCUGGGCUCUGAGCUGCCCUUCCCCAGGGCCAGGACAGAACCUCCUUCACACAGGGCUGCUGCACAUGGCUUUUGGCAAAUCCUGUCAGGACAGAUGGACAAGAGGAGAGCCAAUCCCACCACCCCGCAUGGGAGCUGCGGGUGGCCAAGCCGCCGGGGGUCCCCACUCCAGAUCAGCAGAUGACGAGGGCACAGAAGCUGCUGAUGAGCUCCUCCGCGCCCUGGAAGCUACAGCAGCCCAUCAAGCAGGAGAGACUUCCACUCCCGGCCUGCACAGGACUCCGAUUACCAAACGCAUGUGCUGCCAGAUGCCAGGAUUCAGAAAUAAAAUCUGACAUCUGGGGCUUUUUAGCCAAUCUCUUUAAAAAACAGUUGUCGAAAACUCGCAGCCUUCAGUUUUAUGUAGGUUUUUUUAAUUACUUAAAGCUCUUCUUUUUAAUUUUUUACAGUGCUCCAGUAGGAGUUUGGAAGCCAGAUAUAAAAACUUACAUCACAGCUGAGAAAACACAGCUCUGAGUCUUUGGUUUAUGGGGUAACCAAAGUCCUCACAUGUGUUUAGAUGCCAGGCUGGAGAACCCCACUUCAUCACCAAGAGGGGGACAGAAGCCUGGAGGGGGAGGGGCUUGAGAACAGCAAGCGGAGGAGUUCUAUGGGGCCAUCUCAGCCACCAGGAAAAGCCCACCCCACCCGCCUUCAAAUUCAACACGUGGUCUUAAUCGUAAUGUUUAAGGUCUGAAAGCAAUUUCCCAGUUUCCAGAAUGGCUGCUGGCCACUGACAGGCCACUGAUCCAAAAGAUAACCAAGUGGGGUGAAGGCUGCUGCCACAGGGACCCACAGGGGCUGCAGCCACCUGAGGAGGGGGUGAGGCAACACCUGGGUGUGGGAGAGACAUCGGGAGGGGGUUCUUGGGUCUUCACAAGAGGCACCUCAGACUCUAUCAGAAGCAGGAAGUGAUCCACUUUCCUGGUUUUGCAAUCUAGUGCAUUGAAGGUGUCUUCCCUUAGCAGAACAGACUGGGUAAAAUCCUUUAGAGGACAUUAUGGAGCCACGGGACCACUGUCUCCUGGGCCCUGUCUGCCUAAGCCAUGAUGAUGCUAUCAUACACCCAUGAAAACCAGGGCCUGCAACCCUGAGACCUGACCAAAGUCAGGCAACAUUCUAAGCACAUCCACAAUCCAGCAAAGCAGGAACCAUCAUAGCUCCAUUAUAUACAUGAGGAAGACUCAGAGAAGUUAAGUAACUUGCCUGUGGUCCCACAGCUAGCAAGUAGGAAAGUGAGGAUUCUAACCCAGCAGAUGGAUCCCUCAGUCUGAUACUGCCCAGACUGCUGCAGAUUUGGGCAAUAAGGCAUGGAAAACUUCCUCAGUCGAUCCUGGGUGGUUCCCAUUCCACUGGGAUCACCCAAGCCCACGUACUUGAGGCAAGGUUAGCCCAUGCACCUGGGGCGGGCACAGGGGUUGCUGGGAAACUGCACACUUCUCCCUUCUGUCCCCUCAUAUUCUCCCUGUGACUUGCAGCCCAACUACAGGCACCUACGAUGAUGGCGCCCAGAGCUGUGGGGGUGUGGCUGUCAUCAGAGGUCACAGAGAAAAGGGCAGCUUUCUUCCCUCCUCCUGUUGGGAGGUGACAGGAAGGGUGGCCUCAAUGGGUAACUGCCAUCCAAGUGUACGGUGAUGCCUCCCUUUUCCACAGGAAAGGUUAGACAGCAGAUGGCAGGUGAAGGACAUUCAGACCUUGGAAGACAACAUUCAGACCUGGGGCACAAGGACCAGGGCGAAGAGCUGGACAGGACAGACAGGGCCUGGGGGAACCCAGGGCCCAGAGGCCCUGCCCCCUCACCUCCGAUGACUCAUCUGCGCCCUGGAAACCCACCUGCGCUGGACCUGCCCUCCGGAUUUCCACUCUGUCUUUCUACUGUGUGCUUGUCCGUGGUCAACAGCACACCGGUCCAGCCUCUCCCUCUAAUCACGCCCGGCUGCGCCAUCCUGGCUCUCCCGGCCCCUCUCACUGCCUCACUCAUCUCAUGGGCCUAGCCGUGUCCUUGGGAGCUCAGGGCGUGUCCAGCCUGGGAAGGCCGAGGCUCAGGCUUCCGCCACAUCCAGGAGGACUGAAACUGCAGACCCUGUCUCCAGUGCGCCUUCCUAUCCUACUCCCACCCUGAGGCUGUCUGCCUAGACCCCACUGUCACAUGGCCCCUGGGACCAGGUAUCACCGCAUCACCCUCCUAGGAGCAAAUGCCAGUGUGACAGAUACAUGCUACAGACUUCUGAGGAUUUCACGAAGGUGCCCCUGAGGGACAUGGGCUACCCGGACAGGAGGCUCCCGCCUGCCUCGGGGUUUGAGAUGCAGAGCUCCACCUGGUAAACAAGCUUAUAACGGAGCAGAGCCACCUCUGGCGCGACAGGUCCCAGCUAAUCUGGGCCAUCGCUGGGGCAGCGGGUAAUGAACGCCAGCCCUGUGGAGUCGAUAACAGAGGAGGUGGCCGGGGUCCCAGGAGCCACAGUAAUUACAGACUCUCCUGACCCUGCCGUGGACUCUUACAGGGAAGGGGGGAAAUCAGUGAAAACCCCCCUGAAAACCUCAUAGAAGCAGAAAUUAAAAAUGAACUUUACAGCCCUUAGAAAGGCUGUCAUUUUAUUCCCCUUAUUAAUAUUCUGAGGUUGGGAGCCUUUCCGUAAAAACAUAAUUAAUUGAGGCCGCGCCGACAGUAAACAAGCAAUUUCAAAUUAAACCGAAAUGACGGCGGCUUCAUUUGCAAAUGUGAACAGAUUCUCAGAGCAGAUAAAUGAAGUCACCACAUAAAGUGGAGACGGAGGGAGAGGGGAGGGGCCGCGAAGGGGCUGCGUGGAGAAGGCUUUGAGGGGUGACUUGAUGGAGUCAUUAAUCUUUACCUGUCUGGGCCACGCUGCCACUCAGCUCAGAGAGACUCGCCGCCAUCCUCUCCAGCUGCUUCCUGUCCUCGCGGCCGCCCAGGAUGAGGGGCAGCAGGUACUUCUGCAAGAAGCAGAGGGGCGGGAGCGGUGUGCACACAGGUACCUGACAUCCGUCUCUCAAAUCCCGCCACCCAACUUUCCCUCGUCCUCCCCAGGUUUGGGGAACCCUGGCACAUCCAUAAGCGAACAAAAUACUUGAAAAAGUUACAAGACUGCGAUUAUAACCAUCUAAAAUUCUGUCUGAAUAAGGACAAGGAUCGGGAGAGAACAGGGAUGAAGAAAGCCAGUGUGCAUGUGCACAUGCGUGUGCGCUGGGGACAGAACCCAGGGUCUGGCACCUGUCGGGCAAGCUCCACCACACAGCUGCAACCUGGCCCCAGGAAAACCAGUUUGGUCUGCUGUGACAGGAAACUUUUAUUAGUGAUGUCAUAUUUUCAUGACAAAAACUUUAAAUUCUACUUUAACAGUUGUAAGAUGAAAAUGUGGAAGGAUAUAUAGGAAAACAAUGCUGUCGGCAGCCUCCUGUUUCACCCUUCAAAACAAAUUAUUAAAAUUAAAUGAAUAAAAACUUACUCAAGAAACUAAAGGGAAAUCAGCUGCAGACUUCAGGGCCCUGGUUUUUAGUAGGGAUGAUACCGUGGUCUCCCGAGAUCACUUGGUCUUUGCUAAACCAAGGCUGAAUCCUCAGAAGCAGCCUCCUUCAGAGACAAACAACUCACUUCUCACAGGUACCCCAGGGGGUAAGCUGCACCUGGCGACUGUGAUGCCACCAAAUAAGAACCCUGAACACCCGGUCCUCUGAACACUGGAAGAAGGCCCUCGAGGGCAUAGCUGGACACCCUGCUGCAAGGCUUGGAACAGGGGUGUGUGGAAGGGCGGAGGCAGGCAGCAGGCCACUGGACAGCAGGAUGAGGCGAAUGUCCUUCGACCCACAAGACAGGGGCCAGCACACGAGGACCCCUAUUUGAGGGGAGCGAGACCCAGUGCAACUUGAAAAGGAGGGUGCUAGAGCUCACGCGGCGUGGGCCUGGCUGGGCCACACAAGGGUACUUUGUUUCUUAGUCUAUUUGGGCCCCAGAUGGGGAAAAAAGAUGGAAACUUCUCCAUUAAGGCUUCUGUAUGGGGAAGGAGAAGGCCCUUCACAGGGGGUUUGUGGGAGAGCUUAUUUCAGGAGUGACUCCUAAGUGAAGACCAUCAUUCAGCUUAAGUGUAGAAGCAUUUUCUAUUUUGCAAAGUGCUUUUCAGCCACCCUGUGAGUUAUUACUCACAACUGAGCUAAAACUCAUCAAAUGUAGUCUGACGUUGCAGGUGGAAAAUUCCCUAAGUAUAAAAGUCAAGAAACUCUCACACAUGUAAACAACUAUGGGCUCCAUUUCUGAGGUCAGAAGUGACAAGAGGCACAUGCCCUGUUCGGCCUAAGUCUUAUGCAUGUGUGCAGCAAGAGGGUGGCUUUUUCCCACUUUCUUUUUUCUUCUUUUAAUUUUUUAAAAAAUAUUUUUUAGUGUUAAUGAACUUUUAUUUUAUUCAUUUAUGUAUAUGCGGUGCUGAGAAUUGAACCCAGUGCCUCACACGUGUGAGGCAGGCACUCUACCACUGAGCCACAACCCCAGCCCCUCUUUUUUUAAUUUAAAAAAACUAUCAACAAAUAUUCUAGAAAUUCUUUAUUUUUUUCUUUUUUAGUACUGGGGAUUGAAUACAGAGGUGCUGUACCACUGAAACACAUCCCCAGCGCUUUCUUUUGAAUUUUGAGAUUUCUUUUGAAUUUUAAGUUGCUUAGGGCCUUGCUAAAAUUAUUGAGGCUGGCCUUGAACUUGCAACCCUCCUGCCUCAGCCUCCCACGUUGCUGGGAUUAUAGGUGUGUGCCACUGCACCCAGCUCUGUUCCACAAAUUCUUCAGUCACCAUUGUGACCGACAUUUCAAUGUCUUUCUUCUUUUAUAAAGCAGGUGAGAGGGGCUGGAGCUAUAUAGCUCAGAGGCAGAAAGCUUGCCUAGCAUGCGUGAGGCACUGGGUUUGAUCCUCAGUACCUCAUAAAAAUAAACAAAUAAAAUAAAGGCAUUCUGUCCACCUACAACUUAAAAAAAAAAAUUUAAAAACCAAACCAAAAGAAAAAAAAAAAAAAACAAACAGGUGAGAGCCCCGAGCUCUGUGGAGACGGACAGCAGCCCUCUGGUGCACCUACACCAAGGGGCUGUGCUUCCUGCUCCUCUCAGGGCCUGCGCUGUGGCCUGUGGCCUGAGCCUGUGGGGCUCACAGGGCCGAGGCACUCAUUGGAAAGCUGUGUGUUGUCAUAUUAUCCUUCCUGGUGCCUAAUCUGUGCCAGUGAUUUGGAAGAAGCCGUCCACACACAAGAAACGGGUGGGUAUCCACUCAGAGGAGGGAGUCCUAGGAUCCAGAACAUUUUGCUUCCAGAUUUUUAAAAAUUGAUUAAUCUAUUUGACAGCAGAAUGCAUUUGACACACUGUACACAAAUGGAGCACAACUUCUCCUUCCUCUGGCUGUCCACGGUGCAGAGUCACUCCUCCAGUGUAAUCGUGCAUAUAUACAUGGUAAUAAUGUCUGUCUCCUUUUACUGUCCUUCCCAGCCCCACAACUCCACUCCUCUCCUCUCACUCCCCCCUACACAAACCAAAGUUCCUUCGUUCUUCUCUAUCCCCCCACCCCCACUAUGAAUCAGCAUGUGCUUAUCAGAGAAAACAUUCAGCUCUCAUUUUUUGGGGGAUUGGCUUAUUUCAUUUAGCAUGAUAUUCUCUAGUUCCAUCCAUUUACCUGCAAAUGUUAUCAUCUCAUUCUUCUUUAAGGCUGAGUAAUAUUCCAUUGUAUAUAUGUACCACAUUUUCUUUAUCCAUUCAUCUGUUGAAGGCAUUUAGGUUGGUUCCAUAGUUAAGCUACUGUGAACUGAGCUGCUAUAAACAUUAAUGUGCCUGAGUCACUACAGUAGGCUGAUUUUAAGUCCUUUGGGUAUAAACCAAGGAGUGGGAUAGGUGGGUCAAAUGGUGGAUCCAUUCCAAGUUUUCUGAGGAAUCUUCAUAUGGCUUUUCCAUAGUGCUUGCACCAAUUUGCAGUACCACCAACUAUGUAGCAUACCUUUUCCCCCACACCCUCACCAACACUUAUUAUUGUUUGUAUUCUUGACAGCUGCCAUUCUGACUGGAGUGAGAUGAAAUCUUAGAGUAGUUUUGAUUUGCAUGUCUCUAAUUGCUAGAGAUGAUGAACAUUUUUUCAUAUGUUUGUUGAUGGAUUGUAUUUCGUCUUCUCUAAAAGUGUCUGUGCAGUUUCUUAGCUGAACUGAUUGGGUUAUUCAGUUUGUUGUUUUUGUGUGUGUGUGUUAAGUUUUUGGAGUUCUUUAUAUAUCCUGGAGACUAGUGUUCUAUCUGAGGUGUGUGUGAUAAAGAUUUUUUCCCAUUCUGUAGGCUCUCUCAUCACGUUACUGAUUGUUUCCUUUGCUAAGAAGUUGCUUCCGGAUUUCUACAUGGCAAUUUCCAACUACAGCAACAGAUGUUCCACUGAAAAAAUGUUAUUCUGCUAUAACUCUGCCAUUAGCUUUUGUAUUAAGCCCCAAACUAAGAAUCCCAGGAUGCAAGGUUUAAAUGUAUUUCACUUGCUAAAAGUUACAAUGGUGAGUCUGGAAUUCAUUCAGGCCCUGGGUGGCCUCCAGGUUGAGCAGAUCUUGGACCUGAGACCCAACCUGGCUCUUCACCUUCUAGAAAAGAUCCAAGGUGGGCCUUUUCACUGGUGUCAACAAAGUAAAUGUUUGCUUGGUGCCUAGGUUCUGUGGUAAGCAAUCAACUCUGCUUAUGAGUCCUGAGGAAUCCUACGUUAUACAUUCCCUGGAAGAGAAGGCAAUCCCACGAACAUGGCUACACUGAGGUUCCCCAACCUGGCUUUAAAUACUAAGGUAGAACAACGGAGUUUGGGGUACUUCCAGUGAGUCAGCCGCUUGUCUCAGCACUUUCCUGUGCUCUUCAUUACAAUCUCACGAAGCAGGUACUGCAGCUGCUCCUCAAUGAUGAGGAGAGGGAGUCAUGUCACAAUGAAGCACUGGACAUCAACAAUGAUGCAAUACACCUCAUCUCCCAGGCUACGUUCAACGUGCCUAAAACAUGCACAUCAGCUGACGGCUUUCCGAACCAUCCGCCUCACUGGGGACAGCAGAGACAGCUAGUCAUCUGGCCUCAGCUGGGCAGAGGUGUGCAGCAGCAGUGAGCUGAGUGACCAGCAUGGAGCCAGGGGGCAGGGCCCUGUGAGGAUGGCGUGAACACACCCCGGUGUACAGAACCACAUGUGCAGACGCCCUACUCCAGAGAAAGAUCAUCGAGGGCACCACAGACCAAGGUGACCUCCCUGCUCUGCUCUCACAUGGAGCUGGGGAGAAAAGACAGAAGACACAAGUCUCUGAAGGACGGAGCAAGGCAACUUCACAGAGUGACAGAGCCUAUCCAGGGCAUGUGCCUGUGGGGGUAGCGGGGGGAAGAGACCAGGGGUCAGCAGGGUCUUGGAGGAGACCAAGACCUGUGGUUCUGGGGACAAGGGAAAAACAAGCAUCAAGUAAGGAAAGUGGGUCAGUGUGGACCUGCUGAGCACCUGGGCCUCAGCAGGGGAGAAGAGAUGCUCUGGUCAAAAGAACUGCAGGAAGAGUGUCCAGGAGAACACAGGGAGUCAAGUCUACCUGCGGGUGGGAAGGAAAAGACAGGGCCCAGGAGUCUGAACACCAUUUCACCAGCAGGGGGGAGACACCGCAGGAUCUGGGUGAGGGUGGUGAUGGGAUCUGCUCUAGGACAGCAGCGUGGGUGGCUGUGAGGACAAGGCACAAGUGGAGUCCCGGAAGCAUGAAAGCUGGGGAGAGCUCUGCAGGGACACACAAAGGCAAAGAGGGUCUGGGAUAGGACGGAGGCCAAGGAAUGGAGUUGGGAGCCAUCUCAGAAGAAUUUGCUGCUGUUGUUGAGGAACUGGUUCCUGAACCAAUUCCCUUUAGAUCAACACCCCCCGGCCCCCGUUACCUGCAGCGUCCCUUUCAGUUACCUGUGGUCAACUGUAGUCCAAAAAUAGUAAACGAACAAUUCCAAAAAAACCCCCAAUUCCCAAGAUUUGAGUUGCAUCCCAUUCUGAGUAGCAUGGUGAAACCUCAGCUGUCCCGCCCUGUCCCACCACUCUGUCCAUCACAGCCAUGCUGAAUGUGCUACCUGCCCUUUAGUCACUUAGCCAUCUCGGUUAUCAGACGGCCGUCUCACGGUCACAGUGGUUACGUUCAAGUCACCCCCAUGUAACUCAACAAUGGCUCCAAAACAUAAAAGCAGUGAGGCUGGCAAUCUGGAUAUGCCAAAGAAAAACCUUUAGUGGCAAAAGUUCUCAAUACAGAAAGAAAAAUGAUCAUAUGCUGAGCUUGCUAAAAUCAAUGGUACGACACAAUUAUUUUAAGAGAGAACACAUUCAGAUAAUUUUUAUUAUAACAUACUGUUAUAAUUGUGCUAUUUCAUUAUUGUUCAUCUUACUGUGCCUAACUUAUAAAUUAAACUUUAUCAUAGAUAUGAAUGUAUGGGGGAAAAACUGUAUACAGAAGGUUCAGUCUUACCUACAGUUUCAGACGUCCACUGGGAGUCCUCCCCUAUGGAAAAAGGGGGCCUAGCACAUCCGAGUCCCCACAGCUCCCGAGGGACAUCCCAGGUGCACAGGAGAGAUCUCCCGACUGCACUCCCCUACACAGAGUUCACAAAGUGCUUUCAUGAUCUGAUCCCAUGAGGCACCACUGUCCACUCCAACGCCCUCAGCUAUCUCUAGGCCACCUAGCAAACACCCUCCCUCCUCAUAGGAGACUGUCAUUAAAGGAGGGGUAGGGGCUACUGUUCUCAGAAUGUUGGGUGGCAUAGGCUUCAUGCCAGCCAUGAAAUGAGCCUGCAGUGCCACUGGGAAGUUGACCAGAGGGCACCCCCAUGCAUGCUGCUGUGCUAGGGAAGCGGGGCCCUGAGUGAUCUGAGAAAGGGUGAGAAAGGAAGAGAAACAUCCCCAAACUCUAAGAGGGAGCACCACUGCCCGGCCAGCGCUGCCUGGAGACACUGAGUGCUUUUAGACACCUGAGUGCUUCUGCUUCUACCUCUCUCACCCGUGCUUGCCAGCUCUCAGAGGUUACCUGUCCCUCCUGGUGUUUGAUGACCAAAGCAGAGGAACAGGACUCCUCUUUUAAGUUCAGUGGCAGGAGGUGAGUGCACAGGGAGGGAGGGUGGCCAGCAUGCAGCCUAGCAGGGGGAUUCGAGUCUCAGAGACCUUUAAGUGGGCAAGAGGGAAACCCCCUCCUCCCCGGGCCGCUGGGCUCUCAAGAGACAGAGGGGACAGACAAGAAUCUCUCCUUAGCCACCACAGUCCCCUCUGUCCUCCACCUAUGGAUUCCACAUGAGAUUCCCCAACAUGGCUCAGCCUCACCUUGUUACAAAACUGUAAUCCACACGUGGCCUCUCCCAGCCCUCAACCCCCAUUUUUUGUUUCCCCUCUUUGGUCAGGCAGCACACACGCCGCUUCAACGUCCAACAGCAGGAGCCAGAAAGGUCUACUGAGAAAGGUCUCCCUCUCUACCACCACCAGUCAUGGAGAAUGGUUUCUUGUUUAUCCUUCCAGAGAGUUUGACACACAUAUAAGACAACACAGAUGUGACUUGGUUUUCCUCUUUCCCACCUAUUUUCCAAUUUUCUUUUUUUCCUACAGCUCUAUAAUAUUCUAUUUAACCUGUUCCCUGCUGGGGGCACCUAACUCAUCAGUGACUGUGCACACGUGUCAGCUCCCAUAUAAGACAAGACUUCUGUAAGCCUAAGACUUCCUAGGACAUGGGUCAAAGGCAUGGGCCUCUGUCAUUUGAGAAAUCCUACAAAAUGGCCUCCAUGGUGUUCAGCGGACUCAUCCCAUCAGCCACGCACCCGGUGCUGUUUCCCCACAGGCAGCCCGACAGUGUGUGUCGUCAAACACGCAUUUCUGACAGUGGCAGAAGGAGAGCGGUGCUUCGCUCUGGUUCUAGCUUGCGUUGAUCUUAUUUUGAGUGAGGACCGGGCGUCUCUUCAACAGCAUUUCCUUUCUGGUGUACUGUGUGUUCUCCACUUUUCUACUUGACUUCUCUCCCUCAGCACUUCUGUAAUACAGCAGGGAUGUUAGCCCUUUAUGACACAAAUCAUAAACAGC